rnacentral:lncRNA from 1 species
UCAGAUCUGACAAACACACAAAAUGUACCCUCUUUUUUAAAAUUUGGUGCAGGUUUUUUAAUAUUCAAAAUUAUAAGUCCAAAAGUGUUCUACAAUGAUCACCAGUCCUUCAGCUUUCAUUUGAUGCCGAAAAUACCUAAAUAUUUUACAUCUUUUGAAAGUUAUACUCAUGUGUAGGAACUAUUUUGUGCUGAAUAUGUACUACUUUCUGGCCGGGUCCGAAUUAGUGGUGUUACACCUUUGUACGCCCAUUUACUGUAAAGUUUGGUCACAUAAUGUACAUUUCACAUGGUAACACUCCAUGUGUUCAUUUCGCUGCAUGUGUUUUUAUGCUGUUCCAAGAAGUAAUUACAAUUCAGAAUAAAAUAUAAAACUGGAAAUUUGUGUGAGUAAUUUGAGUUAUCUCCCUUGUCAUGAAAAUAUUAUUUUGUGCAUUUUUAAUUUUUCAAGUAGAAAUGAAAAAUCGCUUUAUCUUAUUGAAAGUAAUCCAAUAUAAAAACCCUACUAAAGGACACAGGUGGCUCAGACAAAAUAUGUUGACCUAUUUUUUUUUUUUCUGUGAAACAACUAUUUUGUAAAUAUCAACAAAUAUCUUAAAG